rnacentral:rRNA from 1 species
AACACGUGGGUAACCUGCCCAUAAGACUGGGAUAACUCCGGGAAACCGGGGCUAAUACCGGAUAAUAUUUUGAACUGCAUGGUUCGAAAUUGAAAGGCGGCUUCGGCUGUCACUUAUGGAUGGACCCGCGUCGCAUUAGCUAGUUGGUGAGGUAACGGCUCACCAAGGCAACGAUGCGUAGCCGACCUGAGAGGGUGAUCGGCCACACUGGGACUGAGACACGGCCCAGACUACUACGGGAGGCAGCAGUAGGGAAUCUUCCGCAAUGGACGAAAGUCUGACGGAGCAACGCCGCGUGAGUGAUGAAGGCUUUCGGGUCGUAAAACUCUGUUGUUAGGGAAGAACAA